CAGUCGCCGCGGGAAUACGGAGGGGGCUAGCGUUGUUCGGAAUUACUGGGCGUAAAGCGCACGUAGGCGGCUUUGUAAGUCAGAGGUGAAAGCCCGGGGCUCAACCCCGGAAUUGCCUUUGAGACUGCAUCGCUUGAAUCCAGGAGAGGUGAGUGGAAUUCCGAGUGUAGAGGUGAAAUUCGUAGAUAUUCGGAAGAACACCAGUGGCGAAGGCGGCUCACUGGACUGGUAUUGACGCUGAGGUGCGAAAGCGUGGGGAGCAAACAGGAUUAGAUACCCCCGUAGUCCCUGUCUCUUAUAC
rnacentral:rRNA from 1 species